GGUCCCGCCUGCCCAGUGAAAAUUUUUAACGGCCGCGGUAUUCUAACCGUGCAAAGGUAGCGUAAUCACUUGUCUCCUAAAUAGAGACCAGUAUGAACGGCUAAAUGAGGACAAACCUGUCUCUUAUAACCAAUCAGUGAAACUGAUCUUCCAGUACAAAAGCUGGAAUAAACACAUAAGACGAGAAGACCCCGUGGAGCUUAAAAUAAACCACUA
rnacentral:rRNA from 1 species